ensembl:lncRNA
UUUUGAUAGAAUUCUCCUGCUUGAUGAAGCCAUUUUGGCUGAAACGGGAGAAAGAAAAUAGUACUGUAUGUAUGGAUAGGGAGGUAGGUCUUGGGUGCACAGCUAAAGAUACAGUGGUAUAUCAUUUUCUCUUUUAGUAAAGAAACCUGUAAAUCUGAAGAGAGUGGUGGCUUUAAUCGUGCAUUAGGACAGCCAUGGAGGAUGUGCUUAGGGGACAUGGGACCUUCUGCCUUAGGAGAACAAGCACUGAUGACCAUUAGUUCAGGCAAUCCUGUGCUGAGGCAUAUGCGACUACAUAAGCCAGAGAGAGGAAGAGUGCUGCCAGGUAGGGUGAGUGGGAAGGGCCCGGCUUCAUGGCCUGGAGUCUGUCUUUUCUUCCCUCUGUUCUGUUCUUACUCAUUGGGCUGAUAGAAGCACAAACAUUUGAAUAAAAG